GACGAACGCUGGCGGCGUGCUUAACACAUGCAAGUCGAACGGAAAGGCCCUGCUUUUGUGGGGUGCUCGAGUGGCGAACGGGUGAGUAACACGUGAGUAACCUGCCCUUGACUUUGGGAUAACUCCAGGAAGCUGGGGCUAAUACCGGAUAGGAGCUCCUGCUGCAUGGUGGGGGUUGGAAAGUUUCGGCGGUUGGGGAUGGACUCGCGGCUUAUCAGCUUGUUGGUGGGGUAGUGGCUUACCAAGGCUUUGACGGGUAGCCGGCCUGAGAGGGUGACCGGCCACAUUGGGACUGAGAUACGGCCCAGACUCCUACGGGAGGCAGCAGUGGGGAAUAUUGCACAAUGGGCGGAAGCCUGAUGCAGCAACGCCGCGUGCGGGAUGACGGCCUUCGGGUUGUAAACCGCUUUCGCCUGUGACGAAGCGUGAGUGACGGUAAUGGGUAAAGAAGCACCGGCUAACUACGUG
rnacentral:rRNA from 1 species